AAUUAAAUCCUUAAGAAAAAACCUAACCCUAGACUCUUGCUAACCCAAGCCCAAGUCAAGGCAAACCCAAUCUCAAUGGCUCAUCAAUCUCUCAAUCUAACCCCAAAAAAACCCUACCCCUUCACUACCCACCCCACCUAGUAAGAGCUUGAGUCUCGUUCUCCGCUCUUGGUAGCAAUCUAAUGAAAACUAGAAAUCACUUUCAUAAGAGCUUCAUUCAUAUAGCGCGUUCUCUUUUCCUUUUUCUCGCGAAGUCAAUUGUGUAAGGGCGCAAACCACUUCUCUAGAAUCCUCACCGCCGUGGUGCUCCCCCUCCGUCAAUUCCAGUAGUCUCGUCAUCCCCAUUGUUGUAUCCAUCACUGAGCCACUUCCCCGCCCUUCCUCCAUGAUUGCGCACACCACUUCAUUAGUCAAGAAUCAGAUUUGGGAUUUGUUUUCUACCUCGCACAAACAGAAAAGGAGCAGAAACAAGAAACACACCUCCGCGCUAGAAUAGUUGCUGACGUUCCCCUCUACCCGUCAGUACCGGCUGCAUUGUGCUUCCCUUGCCAGUGGGUCCAUGGCCGAUUUGCUCCCUCUUUCCUCUGGUUCUAUUCUUAGGUCUGCUUAGCUUCUUGGUUCAGAUUACUGAACACAGGACAAAAGGGGGUGAAGCAAAGGAAAGGCCUGCAAGACGCACCGAUACCGCUGUGAAGAGUUGUCGCCGCAACGCGCCGCACCUCCAUUCUGGGUCUUUCCUAUCUGCAGAAUACUGCCAAAGCAGGAGAGAAGAAAAUAGGAAUGCAAUCAAGUGCAAAAAGAAAGUUUUGAUGAAAGCAACAAUGCACCAAUUAGAAUGCAGCAAGGAGUCUCCCAAUGACGAGGAUUGAAUACAGCAAGAAUGCAACAUUACAGCCUUCUAUAAGUAGUUGAAGCUCUGAAGAAGAAGUAAAGAACAAGUACAAGUAAAGAAGAAGCUUUGUAAGCCAUUAGAAAUAAGAUUUUGAUUUUGAUUUUUUUUUUGCGUGUUGAAGCUCUAAAGGAGUGGCUGCAUUUUAUAGUUCAGACUUUGGUGUAACUAUGGCGGUGAGUUAAAUGUUUCUCGUGGAAUGCAAUGGCAGUUGCCAACGACUGUGUGAUGCAUGGAGCCUCUGUCUUUGGUAGUUGUUAUUUGGUUAAAAUGGUUAGUGUUAUAUGGCCUUAACUUGUAUUACCUGCUAUUUUUGGAAGAUAUUUACCAAUGUCAUAGUGGCUACUAAAUGUAACAUUCACA